rnacentral:rRNA from 1 species
UACGGAGGGUGCAAGCGUUAUCCGGAUUUACUGGGUUUAAAGGGUGUGUAGGCGGAUUUUUAAGUCAGAGGUGAAAUCUCCAGGCUCAACCUGGAAACUGCCCCUGAUACUAUUAGUCUUGAAUAUUGAUGAGGUGGGCGGAACGGGUCAUGUAGCGGUGAAAUGCUUAGAGAUGACCCGGAACACCAAUUGCGAAGGCAGCUCACUGGGCAAUUAUUGACGCUGAGGCACGGAAAGCGUGGGGAUCAAACCAGG